rnacentral:lncRNA from 1 species
AGCGGGUCAGUGAAAUAGCAGCAAGGAAAGGAUGUACUCCAUCACAGCUAGCAUUGGCUUGGGUCCAUCACCAAGGGAACGAUGUAUGCCCGAUACCUGGUACCACAAAGACGGAGAAUUUUAACCAGAAUAUUGGAGCUUUGUCGCUGAAACUAACACCAGAUGAAAUUGCUGAACUUGAAUCCUUUGCGUCGGCUGAUGCUGUAAAGGGAGACAGACACGCGUUCAUGUCAAGUACCUGGAUAAAUUCGGAAACGCCUCCAUUCUCCUCUUGGAAAGCUGAAUAAGGAUAUCUUUUGAUUAUAAGUACAUCUUUUUCUUUAUAAAUGCGAUGAUUGGAAGUAUUAUUAACUUGCUUUUUGCUAGCUUUUGUAUGUGGAAAAAAUUCAAAUCUUGAAUUAAUGCAUUUUACUACCAAAUUGCAAUAAUACAUAAGAUUAAGUUGAAUUAUAAAGUUGACUUAAUAUAUUAAAAUAUAUCAAUGAUGUGGUAGUAUGUUAAUUAUUGAUGUUAUUUGGAUGGCUGAGAAUUUAAAUUAUCGGAUUAAAAAAAUAUAUCCAAAUUAUUAAAAAUUACAUCAUAAUAUAUUUUUAAUAUUUCAUAUAAUAGAUCACACUUUUAUGUGAAAACAAAUUAUAUAAAAAUAUCAUGAAAAUAAAAUUCUCCUAUUAUAUACUCUUACUAAUCUCUUUUUUAUCACACAUUCUUGUUUAGGAGUUAGCACUUAUUAGAAGUGGUUGAAAAUUUUAUUUCAUGAUCAAUAUAUAUUAACAUCCACACAAAAAGAUCAAUUUUCUGCAUGUGUGUUAGCACUAUUAUUAUUUUUUUGACAUGUUAACCCAUAAUUCUGAAUGAGACAGUACAUAAAUUAUAUUUUCCCAAUUUCCAAUCGUGAAUUAUACUUUUGUCAUUUGCACCAGCCUCCCCUCUACGCCCACCUCAGGCCACCCCUAACGUCACCCCUCACCCACACCCACUCCACUCCACUCUCUCCCACCCCACUCUAACGUCACAGCUUACGAUUAAAAAGAUCGGACGCCUAUAUAUAUAUAUAUAUAUUGCCGCAGAAAUGGAGUACCAUCUACCGUCUACUCACUGCUACCAUCUACCGUCUCUGAGGAGAGGAGAGAGAAAUAGCUAUGGCUUCGACAGCAGUACAAGUGCCGAGAAUCAAACUGGGCUCACAAGGUUUGGAAGUUUCAGCUCAAGGACUAGGCUGCAUGGGCAUGUCUUCCAACUACGGAGCUCUGAAACCCGAAUCCGAUAUGAUCAAGCUCAUCAACCACGCCAUAGACACCGGCGUCACCUUUCUCGACACCUCCGAUGUCUAUGGGCCCCACACCAACGAAAUCCUCAUCGGAAAGGUAUUCGAGCUAAUAAUACUCUGACUACGUACAAUCAGUAAUAGUAGUAGUUCAUUUGUUUGAAUUAUGAAAUUAUGGAAUUGAGGAGAUUAAAUUAUUUGCAGGCGUUUAAGGAGAAUGGGGGAUUGAGAGAGAAGGUGCAAUUAGCCACCAAAUUUGGGUUAACUCGAAUGGAUGGGGAAAUUCGUGGGGAUCCGGAUUAUAUUCGGGCGGCUUGCGAGGGUAGCUUGAAUCGGCUGGGUAUUGAGUGUAUUGACCUUUAUUAUGCUCAUCGGAUUGACAUCCGCGUCCCUAUUGAAGUCACGGUUUGGCUCUCCAUUUCUCUGUCUUUAUGUACAACUUUUUCCUAUUUUGUAGGAGUUCAGAUCUUCUAUCUCGUUAUGCCUAUCUCUCUUUCAAGUCAUAAGAUCAUUAUUGAUUUUGAAAGUCAAUUUAAAACAUUUUUAAACUCAAAAUUUGACUUGAUCAAAACUUAUGAAACAAUAAAUCUCAACUACAUUUGGGAUGACUACAAAUUUCCUAAUUUUAUUAAUUAAAAUUUUAAAGGAAUUCAUCUUAAUUUUGAGUUUUGAAAUGUAUUAAAUUGAUUUUAAAAUGUUAUAAUGAUGUUAUAUUUUAGAAUAGAGAUAGUGUUAUAUUAACUUUCUAAAGGGAACAUUGGUUGAGUCUAAUUUGAAUUCAUUUUGUAAUGUCUAUAAAUUAUAAGUGGUAACCGGGUGAAUAUUUAUGAUUAAAAUUUUUAAAGGAAGAGUUAAAAAAAGAACUUCUUUGUAAUGAUAUAAGAGAAAAAUUUAUAAUUAUUGAAUGACAUAACUAAUAAUAAAUUAAACUAAAUUAUUAAUAAUUUAUUAAAAAAAAUAAGAAAAUGAUGAAAUGUAUAAGCCAUAUUUUAGUAGUUUAACAUUUAAUCGAUGCUAAUUUUAAUAAAUUGGGCUCAAGCCCUCAACAUAAAAUUCCAGUGCAGAAAUCUAAAAUGACAUGGAGUACUGAAACUUGGUCGCCUAGUUUCUGUUAACUGACUGCCUAAUUACCAUAUAUUAGAUACUUAUUUUUCUACGAAAAAUGGAGACAAUCACAGCUGUUCCUCCAACUACUGUUGGUUGGAAAGGGAGGGGAGGGAGGUAAAAAACUUGAUUUUUGUAAAAAAUAAAGUUGAACUAUAAUGUACAGGUAUUAUUUAAUAAUAUGAAUAAACAUCAAUUGAUUAUGAUACAUUCUACCACAUUUCAAACUUAUUGUAAUUCUCUUUAUGACCAACCUUAUAGGCUAGGUACUACCCAGUCGAGUACAGGAAGUCAUUAUUUUAUUUACGAGAAAGAGAUGUGAUUUAACAUAUCUGAGGAAAUUCCAAGUUUUCCUUAGAUAUAUUUGUGCAGUUGAAUUUUUAGAUGGAGAAAAGUAGGAAUUUUAGGAAUAUAGAGAACUAAAAGUGAAAAAUGGGGAAAGGAUUUGAAAGCGAAAGUAGAUUGCGAGUGAAAAACGAGCAGGGACUGUAAGUAGAGUAGCAGAGUCUAAAACAUCUUUGAAAGAAAAUACAGGAUAAAAGAGAAGCAAAGACUGGAUAGACAGAGAAACAAAAUAUGCUACAGAGUUAACACUAUCUACCUCCUCCAAUUGUAAAUUAUGGGGUUCUGACUAUUACUCAAUGGGAGUUGUAUACCUAUUUGAAUGGUAUUGUGUUUGUACCUCUAUAUAAUACCUAUUUUAAGUUUUUCUAAUACUGUUUAUGAUAAACUUUUGCUAGAUGGGAGAACUCAAGAAACUGGUUGAAGAGGGUAAAAUAAAAUAUAUAGGAUUGUCGGAGGCUUCUGCUUCAACAAUUAGAAGGGCUCAUGCUAUUCAUCCGGUAACAGCUGUACAGAUGGAGUGGUCAUUGUGGUCGAGGGAUUCGGAGGAAGAUAUUGUUCCUACUUGCAGGUGCAUAGACUUUUUCAUGUUUUACAAAUAUUUUUUAGAGUAACAAAUGGAUCAAAUGUUUGCUUAUAAUGUUUGUGUUAUUCACCAGAGAACUUGGUAUUGGGAUUGUCCCAUACAGUCCUAUGGGAAGAGGAUUUUUAGCAGCAGGUCCCAAGUUAGUUGAGAACCUGUCCGAGGGUGACUUUCGAAAGGUUUAGGCACAAAACCUGUUUUUUUUUGUUUUUUUUUUGCAGAAUAAAUCGGAUAUAGUUAGUCUUUAUAAUAUAUUCUUUAUCUGAAUAAUUGUCUUUAAAUACUCUCUACGUCCCAUAGUAGAACUCUGUGCAUCUUUGCUCUCCCUCCUCCAUUGUAUGAGCUUCUGAGCAGUAAUCAGUAUGUUUACCAAGCUCCCUUUCAUUAUGUGUCUGACCCUAUCUGAAGCAAACACUGCAUUUUCCACUACCAUCUUCAUGAUAUACUACCACACCUUUAACCAUUUGCGCAAGUAUCAAAGAAAACCAGAAUUUAUAUGGUGACAUACAGGCUAUAUAGCUCCCAAAACCGUUACUAUUUUGUAGUCUACCUAUUGGACCUUUCUGGUGCUUAUGUGUACUUACUUUUGCCUUAAAAUUAUCCAAUUUGUUCAAAGACCUGCUUGAUGCAUUCACACCUUGGGAUAGCUGUAAUUUUCGCAUAAAAUCAAAAUGGUAAAAUAGCUCUAUAAUUUUCCAAAGAGGAAAGGCUCUUAUCCGGGGAGAUUCCAAAAAAUAAAAACUUCUGAUAGUGAUAAUUGAUGAUAUUAUGCCUUGUAUUUGAAAGUUUUGUGGUUUUGGUGCCGAGAUAUGUAUAUGUAUGUUGUCUUUCACAGAUUAUGCCAAGGUUCAAGCCUGAGAAUGCUGAGCAUAAUAAGUACUUAUUUGAGCGGAUCAGUGAAAUAGCAGCAAGGAAAGGAUGUACUCCAUCGCAGCUAGCACUGGCCUGGGUCCAUCACCAAGGGAAUGAUGUGUGUCCGAUACCUGGUACCACAAAGACGGAGAAUUUUAACCAGAAUAUUGGAGCUUUGUCGUUGAAACUAACACCAGAUGAAAUUGCUGAACUUGAAUCCUUUGCGUCGGCUGAUUUUGUACAGGGAGACAGACACGCGUUCAUGUCAAAUACCUGGAUAAAUUCGGAAACGCCUCUGUUGUCCUCUUGGAAAGCUGAAUAAGGAUAUCCAAAUUUUCUUUUCUGUUGAUUACUGUUUAUGUAGUCUUCAUUUCUGUUGAAUAAGGAGGAUAUCGAACUCAAAUGGAGUAUUUCUUGGGAUUCCACUUUUUGUGUGUAUCAAACAACAUAAAUGUCGUAAAAUCACAAUAAGUCUUUCCAUUACAAAAUAUUGUCAAUACACUUUUUGCUAAUUUAUAUAAUACAAAUCUAGGCAUUAUUUUUUGCAAUUAAAAAGGAAAUCUUAAUACCUUUAAAAAUUGAAAAUUAACCGAGAAAAAC